rfam:Oryza nivara chromosome 9, whole genome shotgun sequence.
UUUAAGUGCAACCAUGAGUUUUCGCGCUAAACUUUGAUCACCCGUCUUGUUUGAAUAUUUUUUAAUUACUAUUUUUGUUGUUAUGAAAUGAUAAAACAUGAAUAGUACUUUACUCAUGACUUAUGUUUUUAAAAUUUAUCAAAUAAGACGGACGAUGAAAGUUAGGCACGAAAAACCAUGGUUGCACUUAAA